UUUCCGUAGGUGAACCUGCGGAAGGAUCAUUAUUGAAUAAACUUGGUUGGGUAGUUGCUGGCUCCUCGGAGCAUGUGCACGCUCGCUCCAUUUUUAACCACCUGUGCACCUUGUGUAGAUCUGAACAACUCUCGGGGAAACUCGGUCAGAGGAUUGCUGUGUGUAAAAGCCAGCUUUUCUUGGGUUCAGAUCUAUGUCUCUAUAUACACCAUAAGAAUGUAUUGGAAUGUAAUUGACAGGCGUUACAGCCCUUAAAAAUCAAAUACAACUUUCAACAACGGAUCUCUUGGCUCUC
rnacentral:misc_RNA from 1 species